UACGUAGGGUGCAAGCGUUUGUCCGGAAUUAUUGGGCGUAAAGAGCUCGUAGGCGGUCUGUCGCGUCGGUCGUGAAAACCUGCAGCUUAACUGUGGGCGUGCGGUCGAUACGGGCAUGACUGGAGUACUGCAGGGGAGACUGGAAUUCCUGGUGUAGCGGUGGAAUGCGCAGAUAUCAGGAGGAACACCGGUGGCGAAGGCGGGUCUCUGGGCAGUAACUGACGCUGAGGAGCGAAAGCGUGGGGAGCAAACAGGG
rnacentral:rRNA from 1 species